ACGGCGAGUGAAGCGGUAACAGCUCAAAUUUGAAAGCUAGCUCUUUGAGGGUUCGCAUUGUAAUUUGUAGAAGAUGCUUCGGGUGUGGCCCCGGUCUAAGUUCCUUGGAACAGGACGUCAUAGAGGGUGAGAAUCCCGUAUGUGACUGGGUGCUUUCGCUCAUGUGAAGCUCUUUCGACGAGUCGAGUUGUUUGGGAAUGCAGCUCUAAAUGGGUGGUACAUUUCAUCUAAAGCUAAAUAUUGGCCAGAGACCGAUAGCGCACAAGUAGAGUGAUCGAAAGAUGAAAAGCACUUUGGAAAGAGAGUUAAACAGUACGUGAAAUUGUUGAAAGGGAAGCGCUUGCAACCAGACUUGCGCGCUGAUGAUCAUCCGGGCUUCUGCCCGGUGCACUCGUCUGCGCUCAGGCCAGCAUCGGUUUCGGUGGUGGGAUAAAGGCCUUGGGAAUGUAGCUCCUCUCGGGGAGUGUUAUAGCCCUCGGUGCAAUGCCGCCUACCGGGACCGAGGACCGCGCUUCGGCUAGGAUGCUGGCGUAAUGGUUGUAAGCGACCCGUCUUGAAACACGGACCAAGGAGUCUAACAUCUAUGCGAGUGUUUGGGUGUCAAACCCAUACGCGUAAUGAAAGUGAACGGAGGUGAGAACCCUUAAGGGUGCAUCAUCGACCGGUCCUGAUGUCUUCGGAUGGAUCUGAGUAAGAGCAUAGCUGUUGGGACCCGAAAGAUGGUGAACUAUGCGUGAAUAGGGUGAAGCCAGAGGAAACUCUGGUGGAGGCUCGCAGCGGUUCUGACGUGCAAAUCGAUCGUCAAAUUUGCGUAUAGGGGCGAAAGACUAAUCGAACCAUUGUCGGCAGGCACAAAAAAUUCUUGUAAAAGUAGGCUAAAAAGCAACGCUAUUUGCUAUGCUUGCUGGCCGGAUCUUGCGAGGUCUAAAAAACAAGAAAUGAUUUUUGCUGCUAGGUGGUUAAGAGGUAUAUUAAAAGUAUACUUAGUCCGUAGAGGGCAACACUAUCAAAUUGCGGGGACGUCCUGUUUUAAAUACUGAACUACCGCAGCUGCCUCGAAAGAGGUAGUGCGCACCAGGUUAAUGACCUUGGGGAUGGUAAAAACGUUUAGAUAGGGAUAAUCCGCAGCCAAGUCCUAUAGGGUCUUAAGACCUACGGAUGCAGUUCACAGACUAAAUGAUAGUGGGUUAGAUACUCUAGCUUAAGAUAUAGUCGAAUCCCUCGAGAGAUCAAGGGCGGAGUUAAUACUUCCGUUUCUAUUGACUUUUCGUUACUGUAGGCUUGUGGGUGU
rnacentral:rRNA from 1 species